UCAGUGGCGAACGGGUGAGUAACACGUAAGAAUCUGCCUUUAGAUAGAGGAUAACAAUUAGAAAUAAUUGCUAAUACUCUAUAUGCCGUUUGGUGAAAAAAGAAAUUUGUCUAAAGAGGAGCUUGCGUCUGAUUAGCUAGUUGGUAGGGUAAAGGCCUACCAAGGCGACGAUCAGUAGUUGGUCUGAGAGGACGAUCAACCACACUGGAACUGAGACACGGUCCAGACUCCUACGGGAGGCAGCAGUGAGGAAUAUUCUGCAAUGGGCGAAAGCCUGACAGAGCAAUACCGCGUGAGGGAUGACGGCCUAUGGGUUGUAAACCUCUUUUCUCAAGGAGGAAGAUCUGACGUUACUUGAGGAAUAAGCAUCGGCUAACCCUGUGCCAGCAGCCGCGGUAAUACAGGGGAUGCAAGUGUUAUCCGGAAUUAUUGGGCGUAAAGCGUCUGCAGGUUGAUAUCUAAGUCUUUUGUUAAAUUUCCGAGCUCAACUCGGAGUCGGCAAAAGAAACUAUUUAUCUUGAGUAUGGUAGGGGUAAAGGGAAUUUCAAGUGGAGCGGUGAAAUGCGUAGAUAUUUGAAAGAACUCCAGUAGCGAAGGCACUUUACUGGGCCAGUACUGACACUCAGAGACGAAAGCUAGGGGAGCAAACAGGAUUAGAUACCCUGGUAGUCCUAGCUGUAAACGAUGGAUACUAGAUGUU
rnacentral:rRNA from 1 species